ACUGGGCAUGGUGGCGUGUGCCUGUAGUCACAGCUACUCAGGAGGCUGACAUGGGAGGAUCACUUGAGCCCAGAAGUUCUGGACUGUAGUGUGAUAUGCCAAUUUGGUAUCUGCACUAAGUUUGGCAUCAAUAUGGUAAUCUGCUGGGAGGGGGAGACCAACAGGUUUCCUAAGGAAGGGUGAACCGGUCCAGGUUGGAAAUGGAGCAGGUCAGAACUCCCAUGCUGAUCAAAAUAUAAAUAAUGAAUGAAAAUUAACUUCAGGAAGUUAAAGGAAGAAAGGAAUU
ensembl:misc_RNA Metazoa_SRP Metazoan signal recognition particle RNA